GACGAACGCUGGCGGCGUGCUUAGCACAUGCAAGUCGAACGGAAAGGCCCUGCUUUUGUGGGGUGCUCGAGUGGCGAACGGGUGAGUAACACGUGAGUAACCUGCCCUUGACUUUGGGAUAACUUCAGGAAACUGGGGCUAAUACCGGAUAGGAGCUCCUGCUGCAUGGUGGGGGUUGGAAAGUUUCGGCGGUUGGGGAUGGACUCGCGGCUUAUCAGCUUGUUGGUGGGGUAGUGGCUUACCAAGGCUUUGACGGGUAGCCGGCCUGAGAGGGUAACCGGCCACAUUGGGACUGAGAUACGGCCCAGACUCCUACGGGAGGCAGCAGUGGGGAAUAUUGCACAAUGGGCGGAAGCCUGAUGCAGCAACGCCGCGUGCGGGAUGACGGCCUUCGGGUUGUAAACCGCUUUCGCCUGUGACGAAGCGUGAGUGACGGUAAUGGGUAAAGAAGCACCGGCUAACUACGUG
rnacentral:rRNA from 1 species